AUUGAACGCUGGCGGCAGGCCUAACACAUGCAAGUCGAACGAGUGGCGGACGGGUGAGUAAUGUCUGGGAAACUGCCUGAUGGAGGGGGAUAACUACUGGAAACGGUAGCUAAUACCGCAUACCAUCGGAUGUGCCCAGAUGGGAUUAGCUAGUAGGUGGGGUAAAGGCUCACCUAGGCGACGAUCCCUCGCUGGUCUGAGAGGAUGACCAACCACACUGGAAACUAGACACGGUCCAGAAUCCGACGGGAGGCAGGCGUGGGGAAUAUUGCACCAUGGGCGCAAGCCUGAUGCAGCCAUGCCGCGUGUAUGAAGAAGGCCUUCGGGUUGUAAAGUAUUUUCAGCGGGGAGGCGUUACCCGCAGAAGAAGCACCGGCUAACUCCGUGCCAGCAGCCGCGGUAAUUC
rnacentral:rRNA from 1 species